rnacentral:tRNA from 1 species
CCGGUUGGCUCAGACGGUAGAGCGCUGGACUUUAAUCCUGAGGUCGAGGGUUCAAGUCCCUCAACGG